GACGAACGCUGGCGGCGUGCUUAACACAUACAAGUCGAGCGGUAAGGCCCCUUCGGGGGUACACGAGCGGCGAACAGGUGAGUAACACGUGGGUGACCUGCCCUCAGCUCUGGGAUAAGCCCGGGGAAACUGGGUCUAAUACCGGAUAUGACUUCAUGACGCAUGUUGUGGAGUGGAAAGCCUUGUGCGGCUGAGGAUGGGCCCGCGGCCUAUCAGCUUGUUGGUGGGGUGANGGCCUACCAAGGCGACGACGGGUAGCCGGCCUGAGAGGGCGACCGGCCACACUGGGACUGAGAUACGGCCCAGACUCCUACGGGAGGCAGCGAGUGGGGAAUCUUGCGCAAUGGGCGAAAGCCUGACGCAGCGACGCCGCGU
rnacentral:rRNA from 1 species